UACAGAGGUCUCAAGCGUUGUUCGGAUUCAUUGGGCGUAAAGGGUGCGUAGGUGGCGGGGUAAGUCAGGUGUGAAAUUUCGGAGCUUAACUCCGAAACUGCAUUUGAUACUGCCUUGCUUGAGGACUGGAGAGGAGAUUGGAAUUCACGGUGUAGCAGUGAAAUGCGUAGAUAUCGUGAGGAAGACCAGUGGCGAAGGCGGAUCUCUGGACAGUUCCUGACACUGAGGCACGAAGGCCAGGGGAGCAAACGGG
rnacentral:rRNA from 1 species